rnacentral:sRNA from 1 species
AUACCUAUUGUCUAAUAUCAAGUUCUAGGUGAUCAAUCUAAAACUAGCAUUAAGAAUAAUCAAGAUGAAGAA